CUCAUUUCGUCUGGAGGUCUCUCUCAGCAGAGUGGCUACAAACUUUAGCCCUGCCCUGAUGAGAUUCCUGGGCAUUUGGUCACGGAUGUUGACAGUGUGCCUUUUACUAACGACUUCAUUCUGGCAGACAGCCUACUGCCUAAAUGUCCAACCUGUGACCAGGCCUCCCUUCCACAAGAAGCUUGUUGAUACUGGCAGACACCCUGUGGCUCUUGCCUGACCUGUGUGCAGUUUAUUCCUACCAGGAUGGCCGAUCUCUAGGAGAGUCUUGACGGAGAAAGAAGCUGGGUUCAGAUGCAGCUGGAGAGCCUGGGGUGAGAACAUGAGCAGUCUAUAAUCAGAAAAUCCCUUUGGGAUAAAUUGACAAAAAUAUAAACCACUCCACAAAGGAGAAAUUGUAAAUGAAAAUGACAUGAGAAGGAAGAAGAUCACUUCAGAGAGCCUGCAGCUCAGAACAGUGGGAACAUCAAAGGUUCCCCAUGUGUCAUUUCAUCUGAUCUUCAUGUUGUAAGGGGUAAACAAAAGAACGUGACACCCUGAAUUGGAUGAAGAAAUAUCUUGUCUGGAAGAGAAACUGAAAACAGGAAUACUCAGAAAGACUGAAAAUAAGAGGAUGGAGAAAAUAUGUCAAGCAUUUUCUAAAAUUCAACGAGUGCUGACAGACAGGUGUCAACACCGCAACAGAGCUGGGUCAAGGUCGGACGUAUAAUAGAACAGCAGCAGCAGCAGAGGUAGGAGGAAGGAUGUAGCAGCAGCCGAAGGAGACACCGUGAGGCCAGGUCAGGGGCCCAGGAGCCUCCGCGUGGACAGCUUCAGCUCCAUCCAAGCUGCCGGAUUGGAGGGCGCCUGCCCCCAGCAGCAGGUGGCCUUAAAGAUUCAGCUCUGAGAAACAAAUGUGGAGGGGGUUUGUGGAGGGAUUAUUGUGGGGUGCGUGGGGCCCUCUGAGGUGAUCUGCUGCAGAAUAACUAAUACCUAUUGUAACAGAGGAGUAUAGAUUUAUAAAAUACAUGACAAAUGCUUAAUAAAAAAGAAAAAAGUGAAAUGAAAAAUGAAGAUCAGAGUGGUAGACAAAGGAAGAAAGGGGGAAGAGGAAGGGAGGAGGGAGGAGGAAAAUGAAGACAAGAAUAGGUUAUAAAUAAAGAUAAAAUGUGUCAAAUGAAUUUAAAAAGAAUGUAUUAUAAUCUGUACUUAAUUUCUUGCUCAAUCAUCGGAAAGUGCCCAUUUCAUGCCCUGUACAGUUACCAUAAUUCCUUUUUUCUCCACAUUCAUUUUUGUUCUAUUAUAUUUGUAGAAAUGUAAUCUUUCAUGUUUAAAGUUCAAUAAUGAAAGUACCGUCUUGUAAAAAAAAACAAAAAUAAAAAUCAAUAAAAAAUAAAAAUAAAAUAAGUAAAACGCA
rnacentral:lncRNA from 10 species